rnacentral:tmRNA from 2 species
GGGGGCGAAAUGGAUUAGACAUUUAUUUGAGAACCUGAAAGGCAUGUCGAGAUGGUAACAAUCUCGUUAAAUUUAGUUACGAAACAUUUAGUUGGCAAUAAAGCAAACUACGCACUAGCCGCAUAAUUCGGCUAGCUUUCUUGGCCUGACACCUAUUAAGGUUAAAGAAAGUCACUAAAUAGGUUGCUUGAGAAAAUUUUUCUGGAGUUUUCUCAAAAAGAAUUUACAGAAUAUAUUUUAUUUAUCCUGCUCAUCGGAGAAAUAAAAAAGAAAUAAUAGAUGAAACUAAACAUGUAGAACUGAAGGGGAUGAAUCGAUGGACGCGGGUUCGAUACCCGCCGCCUCCACCA